rnacentral:tmRNA from 1 species
GUCAAGGUUUCGACAGGGGUCUUGCAGCUGGAGAAGCUAUCCGCAGGCGAUGCGUCAAAUCGCGAAAAUAAAUAUAAACGCUGACGAAAAAUUAGCAUUUGCUGCCUAAGGGCAGCUGUCUGACUUAGUGCACCUACACAUUAAGACCCAGGCAUCAACGAUGUAGGAAACGACAUGGGUUAAGCUUUGCCCCCAUGGGCGUAAUAUGAAGCUACUGAAACCUGAAGAGCGUCUGCCCCCGUCAGGUAGAGGGAAUGGUGAGCAAUCACAGAUUGGCUGACUAUGAUAGUAGAAGGACAGGGAAUGGGCUUUUGGACGCGGGUUCGACUCCCGCCUGGUCCAC